GUUUAAAUAGGCACAAACUUUUCCAAGCAGAGCAGAGCAGAUGCAUUGCAUUGAAUUGCACCAGUCCUCUGCAUCACCUGCAAAACUGAGAGAUUUUAAUUUCCAAGAAUUUGAGCAGAGAAAGUGCAUAAAACCAGCAAGGAAAUUAAAAGAAGAAAUAAAAUGGAAGGAAUAGAGAAAGCCAAAGGGUCUUCAACAGAAAUCUACCAUAGCUUGAGCAGAAGAAGAAGCAGAAGCACGGGGGUGAGCAUGGAGGAUGUGUUUUUAAGCACCACGCCCUCUCGACGAAACAUUCGAAUAGAUGAAGACGAAGAAGCUCUGAUAUGGGCAGCCAUUGAGAAAUUGCCAACAUAUAAUCGGUUAAGAACAAGCAUCAUCAAGUCCUUCGUCGAAACCGAUGAUGAUGAUGCUCAAGGAAAUAAGACCAACAAAGUCAUACAUAAGGAAGUGGACGUUCUGAAGCUCAACAUAACCGACCGUCAAACAUUUAUUGACACCACUUUUAAGAUUGCAGAAGAAGAUAAUGAGAGGUUCUUGAAAAUGAUCAGAAGUAGAAUUGAUAAGGUUGGGAUCAAACUUCCCACAGUGGAAGUUAGGUUUGAGCAUUUGACAGUGGAAGCCAAUUGCCAUAUUGGCACCAGAGCUAUUCCCACCCUCCCAAAUGUGGCUCGGAACAUCGCAGAAUCAACUCUUGGUUUAAUAGGGAUCAAAGUGGCUAAGAGAACAAAUCUAACAAUUCUCAAGGAUGCCUCUGGCAUUAUCAAACCAUCAAGGAUGACCCUUCUAUUAGGCCCUCCGACUUCGGGGAAAACAACCCUUUUGCUGGCAUUAGCUGGGAAGUUGGACCCAAGCUUGAAGGUUAGUGGAGAAAUCACUUAUAAUGGAUAUAGGCUGAAUGAAUUUGUGCCACAGAAGACCUCCGCAUAUAUUAGCCAAAAUGAUGUUCAUAUGGGAGAAUUGACAGUCAAAGAAACUCUAGGACUUUUCGGCAAGGUGCCAAGGGGUUGGGACGCGAUAUGAACUUCUUUCUGAGCUUGCUAGAAGAGAAAAGGAGGCUGGAAUAUUUCCAGAGCCAGAAGUAGACCUUUUCAUGAAGGCUACUUCAAUGGGAGGAAUUGAGAGCAGUCUCAUUACUGACUAUACUCUCAGAAUGUUGGGGCUUGAUAUGUGCAAGGAUACCCUUGUAGGAGAUCAGAUGCAGAGAGGGAUAUCUGGUGGGCAAAGAAAACGAGUUACCACAGGUGAGAUGAUUGUCGGGCCUACAAAAACAUUGUUCAUGGAUGAGAUAUCAACGGGUCUUGAUAGCUCCACGACACAUCAAAUAGUUAAGUGCUUGCAGCAAAUCGUACACAUUACCGAGGCCACAAUCUUAAUGUCUCUACUCCAACCUGCUCCUGAGACGUUUGAUCUCUUUGAUGAUAUCAUCCUCUUAUCAGAGGGCAAGAUCAUCUACCAGGGCCCACGUGAGCACGUAUUGGAGUUCUUUGAGAGCUGUGGAUUUCGAUGCCCCGAGAGAAAGGGAACUGCUGAUUUCCUGCAAGAGGUUACCUCAAGGAAAGACCAAGAGCAAUAUUGGGGGGACAGAAGCAAGCCAUACCAAUACAUAUCCGUCACUGAAUUCGCAAACCGAUUCAAGCGAUUCCAUGUCGGCAUGUGUCUGGAGACUGAGCUCUCAAUCCCUUUCAAUAAGGCCCAAGGCCAUGGAGCAGCCCUUGUGGUCAAAAGAUAUUCAUUACCAAGAAUGGAACUUCUGAAGGCCUGUUUUGACAAGGAAUGGCUACUUAUAAAGAGGAACUCUUUUGUUUACAUUUUCAAGGCGGUCCAAAGUAUUAUAGCGGCAUUUGUAGUCGCCACCCUAUUCUUGAGGACGCAAAUGCACACUAGAAAUGAAGAUGAUGGUGCACUAUAUAUUGGUGCACUUUUGUUUUCCAUAAUCCAUAACAUGUUCAGUGGUUAUGCUGAGCUCACAUUGGUCAUUGAAAGACUCCCUGUAUUUUACAAGCAUAGAGACCUCCUUUUCCACCCUGCUUGGGCUUUCACUCUCCCAUCUGUCCUACUCCGGAUUCCUAUAACCCUUUUUGAAUCCACUGUUUGGGUAGGCAUUACAUAUUACACCAUCGGAUUUGCACCUGAAGCCAGCAGGUUUUUCCAGCAACUAUUGCUGGUAUUUCUGCUGCAACAAAUGGCUACAGGGAUGUUUUGGCUUAUUGCUGGAGUCUGCAGGACCAUGAUCAUUGCCAACACUGGCGGGUCUCUCAUUCUGCUCUUUGUUUUCAUGCUUGGAGGUUUCAUAAUUCCUCGAGGUGAAAUUCCGAAGUGGUGGCGGUGGGGCUAUUGGGUUUCACCUAUGACAUAUUGUUUCAAUGCUAUUACUGUAAAAGAAAUGUUUGCUCCGAGGUGGAUGAACAAAAUGGCUUCAGAUAAUGUUACCGCAUUGGGUGUAGCAGUGCUUGAGAAUUUUGAUGUUUUCCCUGACAAAAACUGGUUUUGGAUUGGCUCUGCAGCUGUUCUGGGGUUUGCGGUUCUGUUCAACAUCCUUUACACACUCACACUUACGUACCUAAAUCCUCUUGGAAAGCCACAAGCCAUAAUAUAUGAAGAAGUAGCAGAGGAAAUAGAAGCAGACCAAUCAAAGGAAGAACCAAGACUUAGAAGACCCAAAUCAAAGAAAGAUUCAUUUUCUCAAUCAUUAACUUCUUCUGAUGGAAACAAUUUAAGAGAAAUGGAAAUCCAGCGGAUGAGCAGUCGAUCUAAUGCCAAUGGACUAAGUAGAAAUGCUGAUUCAACUCUUGAAGUACCCAGUGGUGUUGCCCCCAAGAGAGGAAUGGUUCUUCCUUUCACUCCCCUUGCAAUGUCCUUCGAUAGUGUAAAUUACUUUGUGGACAUGCCCACGGAAAUGAAGGAAGAAGGAGUAAAAGAGGACAGGCUUCAGCUACUUUGUGAAGUAACUGGUGCAUUUAGGCCCGGUGUCUUGACAGCUCUAAUGGGAGUCAGCGGGGCUGGGAAGACGACUUUGAUGGAUGUGUUAGCAGGAAGAAAGACAGGUGGCUACAUUGAAGGCGAUAUUAGAAUUUCUGGCUUUCCUAAGAAACAAGAAACUUUUGCAAGAAUUUCUGGUUACUGUGAACAAAAUGAUAUCCAUUCACCGCAAGUCACUGUCAAAGAAUCUUUGAUUUACUCAGCUUUCCUUAGGCUACCUAAAGAAGUCAGCAAAGAGGAAAAGAUGACUUUUUUAGAAGAAGUGAUGGAAUUGGUCGAGCUAGACAAUCUAAAGGAUGCUUUAGUGGGGAUUCCAGGAAUUACAGGGUUGUCAACUGAACAAAGAAAGAGGUUAACAAUUGCAGUUGAGCUUGUUGCCAAUCCCUCAAUCAUUUUCAUGGAUGAACCAACAUCAGGUCUUGAUGCAAGGGCAGCUGCCAUUGUUAUGAGGGCUGUUAGAAAUACCGUGGACACCGGGAGAACAGUUGUCUGCACAAUUCAUCAGCCUAGCAUAGAUAUCUUCGAGGCCUUUGAUGAGCUGCUACUCAUGAAGAGAGGAGGACAAGUGAUCUACUCAGGACCAUUGGGCCGCAAUUCUCACAAGAUCAUCAAAUAUUUUGAGGCAGUUCCUGGAGUGCCAAAAAUUAAAGAGAGGUAUAAUCCAGCCACAUGGAUGCUAGAGGUGAGCUCAGUAGCGACUGAAUUCCGACUUGGAAUAGACUUUGCACAACACUUCAAAUCAUCUUCCUUGCAUCAGAGAAACAAAGCUUUAAUAAAGGAGUUAAGCACACCACCACCAGGAGCAAAAGACCUCUAUUUUCGUACUCAAUAUUCUCAGUCAACAUGGGAGCAAUUCAAAUCUUGCCUGUGGAAGCAGUGGUGGACUUAUUGGAGAAGUCCUGAUUACAACCUUGUUAGGUUCUUUUUUACCUUGGUCGCUGCCCUCUUGCUUGGAUCUAUGUUCUGGAAGAUUGGCACUAAAAGGGAAAGCAUAGCUGAUCUCACCAUGAUUAUCGGGGCAAUGACUUCUGCUGUGCUUUUUAUUGGAGUUAAUAACUGCUCAACAGUGCAGCCAAUGGUUGCAAUUGAAAGAACGGUGUUCUAUCGAGAAAGAGCCGCUGGGAUGUACUCUGUAUUACCUUACGCACUGGCACAGGUCAUUGUUGAAAUACCGUAUGUGUUUGUUCAAACCGCAUAUUAUGUGCUGAUAGUGUAUGCUAUGGUGAGCUUUCAAUGGACAGCAGCAAAAUUCUUCUGGUUCUUCUUUGUCAGCUUCUUCACAUUCCUUUACUUCACAUACUACGGAAUGAUGACCGUCUCCAUCACACCAAACCACCAAGUAGCAGCCAUGGUGGCAUCAACUUUUUACUCAUUCUUCAACCUCUUCUCGGGUUUCUUCAUACCAAGACCCAAAAUACCCAAAUGGUGGAUUUGGUACUACUGGAUAUGCCCGGUUUCAUGGACUGUGUAUGGGUUGAUUGUGUCGCAGUAUGGUGAUAUGGAGGACACCAUUAAAGCACCUGGGAUUUCACCUGACCCUUCUGUGAAAUGGUAUGUAGAAAACCAUUUUGGAUAUGAUCCAAAUUUCAUGGGAUCUGUGGCAGGGGUUCUUGUUGGCUUCACAGUUUUCUUUGCCUUCAUGUUUGCUUUCUGCAUAAGGGCCCUCAACUUCCAAAUUAGAUAGAGGAAGCUCCUUGGUAUACACCCCAAGUUAUACAUAUUACAAGAAGUUCGACAUGCAAGUAUAGGUGGUAAGAAUGUAAGGAGACAGUUUUAUAAGCCUUGAAUUGUUAUCCCUUAGAGCACUUCCACCCAUGGUGCCAUGGCAAAGGGCAAGGGCAAGUAAUUGCAGACACUAUUUACGUAGAUAGUGACUGCCCUACUCUUUUAUUUUGCUUUUCCACUCAUUGUCAUGACAAGUGAAGGCAAGCACUAUUCACGUGAGAUAUGAAAAGAAAAAUUUGUAUGGAGUUUUAGUAUGGAAAUACAUG